rnacentral:lncRNA from 1 species
UAAAUACCUAAACACCUAACCUAUUUAUAAUGCUGAAAUUUACAGGUUUCAAGUUUUAAUGUAGAGCAUAAUUAUGUAGAGUAGAAACGCAGAAACCAAACUGGAGGUGAAUCAGUAAAUAAUUUCCAGUAUUUUAGAGAAGACAGCAAUUGCAAUUUUCAAGCAUAUCUAAAAUCUGCCAAAAUAUUUGUCACUCACUGAUUGACUUAAUGGCCAUUAGGGGAGAAAUAUUAGCCCACAAGUCCAGUAAUUGAAGAAAUAAUAAAUUCAACUGAUCACUGAUAGAGAAGAGUAUUAAAAGAAAAACAUUUAGUGAAUGAUGAUUUACAGGAUAUAGAUAAGGCCAAUAGUAGACAAGAUGUCUCCUAUGCAAAGGAACCAGAUAUUUUGGAUAAACAGGAAACAGAUAGCUUAUUGAAAAUCCUUGUAGGUGAAUACAUUCUUGAUUAUAUAAAAGCCAUUCAGUGGGGCAGAACCCAUGAAAAAAAUGCCAUAGGCCCAUAGAGCACCUAAGAUAAAAUUAUAGUCGUAAUGUUCUACCAACUGGAGUAUGGCUAACAAAUUCGGGACUCCUUGGUGCUAGUGCUGAUGGAAUUAUUGAAGAAGGAUUAUGUUGUAUUAGCGAUUAUGAUGAAUUUUAUAGGUUACAAUCUUUA